rnacentral:tRNA from 1 species
CGGGAUGUAGUACAAUGGUAGUAUGCAAGGCUGGGGGUCUUGUGACCCGGGUUCGAUUCCCGGCAUCCCGA